UAGUAAAAUGGUUUUCGGAUGAUAACUCAAAAACGCAUACGCUUAGGAUCAUGAAACUUCAUGGGUAGAUUGAUCAUGACUUGCAGAUGACCCCUAUUGAUUUUGAGGUCACUAGGUCAAAGGUCAAGGUCACGGUGACCCGAAAUAGUAAAAUGGUUUCCGGAUGAUAACUCAAGAAUGCAUACGCCUAGGAUCAUGAAACUUCAUGGGUAGAUUGAUCAUGACUCGCAGAUGACCCCUAUCAAUUUUGAGGUCACUAGGUCAAAGGUCAAGGUCACGGUGACCCGAAAUAGUAAAAUGGUUUCCGGAUGAUAACUCAAGAACGCAUACGCCUAGGAUCAUGAAACUUCAUUGGUAGAUUGAUCAUGACUCGCAGAUGACCCCUAUUGAUUUUGAGGUCACUAGGUCAAAGGUCAACGUCACGGUGACCCGUAAUAGUAAAAUGGUUUUCGGAUGAUAACUCAAAAACGCAUACGCUUAGGAUCAUGAAACUUCGUGGGUAGAUUGAUCAUGACUCGCAGAUGACCCCUAUUGAUUUUGAGGUCACUAGGUCAAAGGUCAAGGUCACGGUGACCCGAAAUAGUAAAAUGGUUUCCGGAUGAUAACUCAAGAAUGCAUACGCCUAGGAUCAUGAAACUUCAUGGGUAGAUUGAUCAUGACUCGCAGAUGACCCCUAUCAAUUUUGAGGUCACUAGGUCAAAGGUCAAGGUCACGGUGACCCGAAAUAGUAAAAUGGUUUCCGGAUGAUAACUCAAGAACGCAUACGCCUAGGAUCAUGAAACUUCAUAGGUAGA